UCCCGUGUGGCUCAGUUGGUAGAGCAUGGUGUUUGCAAUGCCAGGGUUGUGGGUUCGAUUCCCACAGGGGGGA
rnacentral:tRNA from 1 species